GACGAACGCUGGCGGCGUGCUUAACACAUGCAAGUCGAACGAUGAACCCGGAGCUUGCUCCGGCGGAUUAGUGGCGAACGGGUGAGUAACACGUGAGUAACCUGCCCUUGACUCUGGGAUAACUGCUAGAAAUGGUAGCUAAUACCGGAUACGACCCUCGGUGGCAUCACCAGGGGGUGGAAAGAAUUUCGGUCAAGGAUGGACUCGCGGCCUAUCAGCUAGUUGGUGAGGUAACGGCUCACCAAGGCGACGACGGGUAGCCGGCCUGAGAGGGUGACCGGCCACACUGGGACUGAGACACGGCCCAGACUCCUACGGGAGGCAGCAGUGGGGAAUAUUGCACAAUGGGCGCAAGCCUGAUGCAGCAACGCCGCGUGAGGGAUGACGGCCUUCGGGUUGUAAACCUCUUUUAGUAGGGAAGAAGCGAAAGUGACGUUACCCGCAGAAGAAGCACCGGCUAACUCCGUGCCAGCCGCCGCGGUAA
rnacentral:rRNA from 1 species